UACGGGGGGGGCAAGCGUUGUUCGGAAUUACUGGGCGUAAAGGGCGCGUAGGCGGCCUUCUAAGUCGGACGUGAAAUCCCUCGGCUUAACCGAGGAACUGCGUCCGAGACUGAAAGGCUUGAAUCCGGGAGAGGGAUGUGGAAUUCCAGGUGUAGCGGUGAAAUGCGUAGAUAUCUGGAGGAACACCGGUGGCGAAGGCGGCAUCCUGGACCGGCAUUGACGCUGAGGCGCGAAAGCGUGGGGAGCGAACCGG
rnacentral:rRNA from 1 species